ACGGAGUCUUCUUAUGAAAGAAACACGUCUCCCAAGGCUUUGGCUGCCAUAGGUAGUGAUUCCCGUGGUGACCUGGGCAAAGUCGUCUGAAAAUAUCUGGGAGAGGAUCGCCCCUCUAGCUGCCGUCAGAGCAGGUGUGACUCAUGGAAGAGGUUAAAAUAUCCACUUUAGUGGGAGUUUGGAAGAAACAGAUCCAGAUCGUCCUGGAUGACUUUGAAGGGUUCAAGACGUCAGUGGAGGAAGCAGCUGCAGAUGUGGAGCAAAUAGCAAGAGAACCAGAAAUAGAAGCCUGCAAACGUGACUGAACUGCUGCCAUCUCGUGAUAAAGCCUUAGCAGAUGAGGAGCUGCCUUUUAUGAAUGAGCAAAGGAAGUGGUUUCUUGAGAUGGAAUCAGCUCUGGUGAAGAUGCUGUGAAGAUGGUUGAAAUGACAACAACGGACUUAGACUACUCCAUAAACUGAGCUAAGCAGCGUGGGGCUUGAGAGGCUGAGUCCGACUUUGAAAGAAGUUCUAAUGUGGGGAAAACGCAAUCAGCAUUGCAUGCUACAGAGAAAUCGUGCAUGACAGGAAGAGUUAAUCGAUUUGGUAGCCUUCGUCGUGGUCUUAUUUUAAGAAAUUGCCACAGCCAGCCCAGCCUUCAGCAGCCCCCACCCUGAUCCAUCAGCAGCAUCAAUGUGCAGGCAGGACCCUCCACCAGCAAAAAGACUGUGACUCACUAAAGCCUCAGAUGAUUGUUCAACCUCUUUAGCAAGAAAAUAUUUUUUAAAAUUAAGGGUGUCAGUCCCUGCUGCAGGUGCCUGAGGCAGGUCAAGAUGGAAAGGCCAGCUCAGAUUCACCACCACCGAAGUGCCCGAAGCGACGAGAAAGUAUCCCCCACCUUGUAAAUUCGGCUUCACUCCACUUUGAUUUUGCAAAAGAUCUGCAUUAGUACCUGUUUUCACGAACCAAAAGAAAUCCGGGAGGACUUUCACUUUUACAGGAGAAGGGGAGAAGCAGAGCUGGCGUUCAGGGCUGGCUCUGCGGUUAGUCACUAUACCUAUACCGUCAGCGCCACCCCAGGCAGCCCAGUGGCCCGGGCAGUCUCCUUUCCCGGGGGCCAGCCUUGGUGUCAAGCCCCAGAGCUCCAAGCAGCGUCCGUGAGCAUCCGGUUCUCUCUUCAUCGGCGUGAUACGUCCAGGCAGUACGGCACGGCCUCAGACUGGGGAGUAAUUCUAACUCCCGUGACUUCGUCGUGCCUCGAAGUAGAAGUCUAGACAUCUGGAUUUGGACAUCUGGAUUCAUCCCUUGCUGUAUCCUCUAGGUUCUUUAAGGACACCGUCAAAGAUGGUGACCGACGCAGACCCUUGUAAAACGUCACAAGACUGGCAUACUUGUAGGUGAUAAGGACGGAGAAAUAAAACAUAGGAUCUCAGCCCGGCCUUACAGGUGCUGCCCAAAGUCACAACAUCUGGAGCGCAGCCUGGAGCUGAGACGCGGGGGCUCUGCCGUGAGCCUGCUCGGCCCGGCCCCGAGGCUGGGCGCUCUCAUCCGGACCUGCUUUGGUGCAGGAGAGCAGGAUGGCAGCGGCCGGGAGGUUUCGCAUCCAGACUGAGCCAGGGUGAAGGCCUCCGAGCAGCGGCAGUUUCUCCUUCCAGGGGGACCUUCAGCCCCUCCGUCCGCUUUCGGCAGGUGGUGUGUGCAUGGGGAGCACACGUCCCGAGGGCUUGGCUCCGGCUCUGCCAUUGACCGUCCCGUGACCCUGGGCUCUAACUUCUUGCUGAGCCUCCGUUUUCUCUCGGGCAAAAUGCAGGUGCUAAUCAUCCCCACUUCAUGGAUUGCUGGGAUCACAUCUCUGUUGUGGAAAACUUUAGGGUAAACUAAAGUGAGCUAGAGGCAGAACAUCGGGUCUGGGCCGUGUGUCUGCCGAUUGGCUAGUUUAACCUUGAGAAAAACCUCUGCCACUGCCUGCCCGUCUGUUUCCGGUCUCCAAGCCCAGAUCUUUCUCUUCGCAGGCCCCAGACACGCCCCUGGUACAUGGAGAUAUCUCAUACUGGCAAUAAUAUAACAUUUCUUUUAUUUGAUGAUGUUAUUGAAUAAUUUUUUAUUUUUAAUCUAAGCAAACACUUAAGUUUAAAAAAACUAGUAACUAUGAAUCUUAACAUAGAAAUGUUAGCCCCUGCCCGUCUUCCGCCCAGUGCCGAUCCACCACUUCCACUGCUUUUAACUGGUUUAUCUGGAAAUAGCUCUACAUGUCUAAACAGCAUCCUUACUCUACAAGUCUUGAUGAUUUUUAAGUUUUAAUUGUUACCUGUUGACUUCCUAGCAUGGGAAGAAAGGAUUUAACCCUCCCCUCCCGUCACGGACACAGACACACCCCUCCGCACCCCCCACCCUCCUCUUCCAUCCGUUCUGUAUGCGGAUCGUACGUUUUGGUGGGAUAUUCGGAUGUCACACUGGGUUCACAGUUAAGUCAGAUAACAUGUGUGAUGACACGCAGCUGCACGUCUUUGCGUACACAAAUUGUUUCCCUGAAGGUAAUAAUUGCAUUGCUUUCCUGUUUGCUGAGUGUUCUCCUGGUAUCACUCGUUCGGCCCAGAAUCUUUAUAAAAGUGUCGCAUGUCCUUUCACUGCACCCGCACACGUGUGCCAUCUCUCAGCCCCUGGAGCCCAUGUCUCUGGGGGUCCCACCUCCUUGGUUCCGCGCUGGGCUGGCCGCUCUCGAGACCCACCGCGUCACCGCAUCCCCGGGCUCCCGGGCCUGGGCUCCGUUCCCGUCCUCCUGGGGAACGCGGCCCCCCCCUCGCUCUGCUGUGGCUUCUCUGCCUCCUGGAUCCCGUGGCUUCUUCCUGCUUGUUUUCCUCCUUCGCUUUGUAGAAGCACGUUGUCCAGUAAUGUCUCCAAAAGAGGAAGGAUGGCUUUUGUUUCUGGAGGGUACACACCUGAAACGGUCUUUAUUCCACGCUUCCAUGUGGUUGAUUAUUUGAUUGGACACAGAAUUACCAAUACAGCUCAGAAACAUUUUU
rnacentral:lncRNA from 1 species